rnacentral:rRNA from 1 species
AUUGAACGCUGGCGGCAGGCCUAACACAUGCAAGUCGAGCGUGAAAGUCCUUCGGGAUGAGUAAAGCGGCGGACGGGUGAGUAACGCGUAGGAAUCUACCUAAUAGUGGGGGAUAACGUUUCGAAAGGAACGCUAAUACCGCAUACGUUCUGAGGAAGAAAGCAGGGGAUCGCAAGACCUUGCGCUAUUAGAUGAGCCUGCGUCCGAUUAGCUAGUUGGUGGGGUAAAGGCCUACCAAGGCGACGAUCGGUAACUGGUCUGAGAGGAUGAUCAGUCACACUGGAACUGAGACACGGUCCAGACUCCUACGGGAGGCAGCAGUGGGGAAUAUUGGACAAUGGGCGAAAGCCUGAUCCAGCAAUGCCGCGUGCAGGAAGAAGGCCUUCUGGGUUGUAAACUGCUUUUAUCUGGGGAUAAAAAGGCCUUGCGAGGCAAACUGAAGGUACCAGAUGAAUAAGCCACGGCUAACUACGUGCCAGCAGCCGCGGUAA